rnacentral:tRNA from 2 species
GGCGACGUGGCCGAAUGGUUAGGCAUGGGCCUGCAAAGCCCCGUAACCGGGUUCGAUUCCCGGCGUCGCCUCAA